UCACGUUUGAGCUACCUCCUUCAAUUCCCCCAACCUUCUCUUCUAUUCUGCCUCCUUCUCUCCAUUGAUAUUUUCCAUAAUCAAAUAUUGGGUUUGCCCAAAUUACAAAUCAGAUAUAAUUUGAAAAUUUAUCUUCAUAUUCUGGUCUAAUUAAUAGAAUUUUUCAUUCUCUUCGACAAGAUAUUGGCUGCCCGCCUCUUCGGCAAAAUUGUGGUUCCAAAUAGGCAGAAUUCAACAAUAUAUGGUCAUUAAGUGUAGGGCUUCUAUUGUUCCUGUGGUCUCUCAUACAUCGCUUAAUUCAAGGUACAUUAUGAACUAAAUGGUGUAGUGGAGGAAGAAUGAUAUGAUAAUUGAAAUGCAAUUCUUGGCAAUUACUUAGUAAUCUUUUUAGAGUUUUUUAUUUUUAUUUUAUUCUUUGAUGAGGUUACAUUUAGGUGAAUUCCUUAAUUAUUUUGGUGAAGCUUUGUCUUCAAGAUCGGACAAUAAUGUAAAUAAAGUAUAGAUCUUUUCUAAUGGAAUAAGAGUUUUUAUUAUCAUUUAAUUUUGUUAGUGUUGUAAUUAUUUAUUUGUUAUGAACAUUAUAUAUUUACCUCGAUAAAUAAAAUAGUGCAGUGAUUCAAAUGGGAAA